AGCGGCGUACGGGUGCGUAUCACGAUGUGCAACCUACCUUUAUCAGGGGAAUAGCCUUUCGAAAGGAAGAUUAAUACCCCAUAAUAUAUUGAAUGGCAUCAUUUAAUAUUGAAAACUCCGGUGGAUAGAGAUGGGCACGCGCAAGAUUAGAUAGUUGGUGAGGUAACGGCUCACCAAGUCAAUGAUCUUUAGGGGUCCUGAGAGGGAGAUCCCCCACACUGGUACUGAGACACGGACCAGACUCCUACGGGAGGCAGCAGUGAGGAAUAUUGGACAAUGGGUGAGAGCCUGAUCCAGCCAUCCCGCGUGAAGGAUGACGGUCCUAUGGAUUGUAAACUUCUUUUGUAUAGGAAUAAACCUACUCUCGUGAGAGUAGCUGAAGGUACUAUACGAAUAAGCACCGGCUAACUCCGUGCCAGCAGCCGCGGUAAUACGGAGGGUGCAAGCGUUAUCCGGAUUUAUUGGGUUUAAAGGGUCCGUAGGCGGACCGAUAAGUCAGUGGUGAAAUCUCAUAGCUUAACUAUGAAACUGCCGU
rnacentral:rRNA from 1 species